GUCGGCAGGUAUUUUUUUUUUUUUAAAGCUCUCUGCCCAGUGGGACUGCAUUACAUGAAGCUCAUUCCGCUAGACAGGAUGAACGGUGCCAUAAAGCCGGGUCAUUCCACUAGACAGGAUGAACGGUGCCAUAAAGCCGGGUCAUUCCACUAGACAGGAUGAACGGUGCCAUAAAGCCGGGUCAUUCCUCUAGACAGGAUGAACGGUGCCAUAAAGCCAGGUCAUUCCACUAGACAGGAUGAACGGUGCCAUAAAGCCAGGUCAUUCCACUAGACAGGAUGAACGGUGCCAUAAAGCCAGGUCAUUCCACUAGACAGGAUGAACGGUGCCAUAAAGCCAGGUCAUUCCACUAGACAGGAUGAACGGUGCCAUAAAGCCAGGUCAUUCCACUAGACAGGAUGAACGGUGCCAUAAAGCCAGGUCAUUCCACUAGACAGGAUGAACGGUGCCAUAAAGCCGGGUCAUUCCACUAGACAGGAUGAACGGUGUUAUAAAGCCGGGUCAUUCCACUAGACAGGAUGAACGGUGCCAUAAAGCCAGGUCAUUCCACUAGACAGGAUGAACGGUGCCAUAAAGCCGGGUCAUUCCACUAGACAGGAUGAACGGUGCCAUAAAGCCGGGUCAUUCCACUAGACAGGAUGAACGGUGCCAUAAAGCCGGGUCAUUCCACUAGACAGGAUGAACGGUGCCAUAAAGCCGGGUCAUUCCACUAGACAGGAUGAACGGUGCCAUAAAGCCGGGUCAUUCCUCUAGACAGGAUGAACGGUGCCAUAAAGCCAGGUCAUUCCACUAGACAGGAUGAACGGUGCCAUAAAGCCAGGUCAUUCCACUAGACAGGAUGAACGGUGCCAUAAAGCCAGGUCAUUCCACUAGACAGGAUGAACGGUGCCAUAAAGCCAGGUCAUUCCACUAGACAGGAUGAACGGUGCCAUAAAGCCAGGUCAUUCCACUAGACAGGAUGAACGGUGCCAUAAAGCCAGGUCAUUCCACUAGACAGGAUGAACGGUGCCAUAAAGCCGGGUCAUUCCACUAGACAGGAUGAACGGUGUUAUAAAGCCGGGUCAUUCCACUAGACAGGAUGAACGGUGCCAUAAAGCCAGGUCAUUCCACUAGACAGGAUGAACGGUGCCAUAAAGCCGGGUCAUUCCACUAGACAGGAUGAACGGUGCCAUAAAGCCGGGUCAUUCCACUAGACAGGAUGAACGGUGUUAUAAAGCCGGGUCAUUCCACUAGACAGGAUGAACGGUGCCAUAAAGCCGGGUCAUUCCACUAGACAGGAUGAACGGUGUUAUAAAGCCGGGUCAUUCCACUAGACAGGAUGAACGGUGCCAUAAAGCCGGGUCAUUCCACUAGACAGGAUGAACGGUGUUAUAAAGCCGGGUCAUUCCACUAGACAGGAUGAACGGUGCCAUAAAGCCGGGUCAUUCCACUAGACAGGAUGAACGGUGUUAUAAAGCCGGGUCAUUCCACUAGACAGGAUGAACGGUGCCAUAAAGCCGGGUCAUUCCACUAGACAGGAUGAACGGUGUUAUAAAGCCGGGUCAUUCCACUAGACAGGAUGAACGGUGCCAUAAAGCCGGGUCAUUCCACUAGACAGGAUGAACGGUGUUAUAAAGCCGGGUCAUUCCACUAGACAGGAUGAACGGUGCCAUAAAGCCGGGUCAUUCCACUAGACAGGAUGAACGGUGUUAUAAAGCCGGGUCAUUCCACUAGACAGGAUGAACGGUGUUAUAAAGCCGGGUCAUUCCACUAGACAGGAUGAACGGUGUUAUAAAGCCGGGUCAUUCCACUAGACAGGAUGAACGGUGCCAUAAACCCGGGUCAUUCCACUAGACAGGAUGAACGGUGUUAUAAAGCCGGGUCAUUCCACUAGACAGGAUGAACAGUGCCAUAAAGCCGGGUCAUUCCACUAGACAGGAUGAACGGUGUUAUAAAGCCGGGUCAUUCCACUAGACAGGAUGAAUGGUGCCAGACAGGCAUUAUAUGAUUGAGGCCUGUGCUACUCAGAGUUCUGUAAUCUUGAGUUAGGCGUUUGAUUUUUACUUUCAGUUAUUGUCCAGUUUAUGUUCCCAUAGUGCUCUAGUAAAAAAAAAGUAGUGUACUCUAUUAGGAAUAGCGUGUUAUUAUGGACGGUUCCUCACUGAUACCUCCACCUCCUGAACCCUCCUGAACCCUCCUGAUCCCUCCUGAUCCCUUCUGAUCCCUCCUGAACCCUCCUGAUCCCUCCUGAUCCCUCCUGAUCCCUCCUGAACCC